rnacentral:rRNA from 1 species
UACGUAGGGUGCAAGCGUUGUCCGGAAUUAUUGGGCGUAAAGAGCUCGUAGGCGGUCUGUCGCGUCGGCUGUGAAAACUCGGGGCUCAACUCCGAGCUUGCAGUCGAUACGGGCAGGCUAGAGUUCGGCAGGGGAGACUGGAAUUCCUGGUGUAGCGGUGAAAUGCGCAGAUAUCAGGAGGAACACCGGUGGCGAAGGCGGGUCUCUGGGCCGAUACUGACGCUGAGGAGCGAAAGCGUGGGGAGCGAUCCGG